UACAGAGGGUGCAAGCGUUGUUCGGAAUUAUUGGGCGUAAAGGGCGCGUAGGCGGCAAUUCAAGUCAUCUGUGAAAUCUCCGGGCUUAACCCGGAACGGUCAGGUGAUACUGUUUUGCUAGAGUGCGGAAGGGGCAAUCGGAAUUCUUGGUGUAGCGGUGAAAUGCGUAGAUAUCAAGAGGAACACCUGAGGUGAAGACGGGUUGCUGGGCCGACACUGACGCUGACAGCGCGAAAGCCAGGGGAGCAAACGGG
rnacentral:rRNA from 1 species